rnacentral:lncRNA from 1 species
UCUCUCUCUCUCUCUCUCUCUCUCACUGUCUGUAACUCUAUCUGUGAAAUAAAAAAAAAAGUCUUUUUGGAUCUGUUGUCAGCUUUUAUUUGAAUUGUUUAUUUGUUUGUUUAUUUUUGCUAUUUUAUUUGAGGGCCUCAUACAUUUUGAAUCAAGCCUUUGUCAGAUAUGUAGCUUGCAAAUAUUUUCUCCCCUUAUGUAGGUUACCUCUUCACUCUGCUGAUUGUUUCCUCUGCUGUGCAGUAGCUUGUUAGCUUGAUAAAAUCUAUUUUUGUGUAUUUUGCCUUUAUUAAUUGGGUGUUAGUGAACUGCCAUAGAAAAUCUUCUCCAAUUCCAAUGUCCUAAAGUGUUUUCUCUAUGUUUUAUACUAAUAGUUUCAAAGUUUCACGUCUCACAGUUAGGUUUUUAAUCCAUUUUGUGUUGAUUUUUCCACGUGGUGAGUGAGGAGGGUGUAAUUUCUUUCUUCUGCAGACAGAUAUCCAUUUUCCUCAGUACUGUUUAUUGAAGACUGUCUUCUUCCACCACAUGUUAUUAAAAUAUUGUAUUUACUUUUUUUAGGGAUUUGUUUAUUUAUUUGAAAGGUAGAGUUAGAGAGAGACAGAGAGAGAGCGAGAGAGAGAGAGAGAAUCUUCUAUUCACUGGUUUACACCCCUAAUGGCCAUAGUGGCUGGAGCUGGGCCAAUCUGUAGUCAGGAGGCAGGAACUUCUUCUGGGUCUUCCACAUGGGUGCAGGGGCCAAAACAAUUAGGCGAUCUUCUGCUUUUCCAGCUACACUAAGAGGGACCUGGAUCAGAAGCGGAACAACCAGGACUUGACCCAGCAUACAUAUGGAAUGUCAGAGCCUCAGGUGGCAGCUAUGCCCAAUAUGCUUCCUAGGAUGCAUCAGCAGGAAGUCGGAGAAAAUUACUGGCUCAUUGUCUGCACAGCUCAUGGAUGACAUCUGCUGCUUUGCCCUCAGCACCUCACGGAAAUUUCAAGGUCUUCAUUCAUUCUUCUGCUGACUUCCCAGGAAUAAUAUCCUACCUGUGAAGCUCUAUGACUGCCUAAAGUUUUUACACCCUAAAAUUAUAUGGAAAUUAAGAAAAAGAUUCCAAGCUUACUCUCAGAUCCAAGAAAUAGAAGGAGGAGGGGAAAAAGAGGAAGGGAGAAACAGAGAGAACAAGAAGUGGAAGAGGAGAGUACUAAAAUGUUAAGAAGCAGAGAAUAUAUUUGAAAGGCAGUUGGAGAUCGUUUUACUCGUAUAUAUAUGCAACCAUAAAGUAAGUACAUAACGAUAUGUCAAAACUUCAUUUGUACCUAGUUUUACUUCCAAUAUUAAGACAAUGAGAGAUACUUAAUGGUUUCUAUUUCCAAAAUCAACAAUAUACCAUUUCAGAUGAAUAUGGGAGAAUUAGAAUUCAACUUUGUUGUGUGCCAAUGUGCAAUGUAAAGCACAUACUGAGAAGUUUCUAAGAUUGAAGAAAUGUAUGCAAUUUCAUGUAUACGACAUUUUUAUCAAGAACCUUUUAUAUAUAAGCCUUUUAAUAAAAUCCCACUUUGGAAGUAUCUAAUAUCGUUU